AUUGAACGCUGGCGGCAGGCCUAACACAUGCAAGUCGAACGAGUGGCGGACGGGUGAGUAAUGUCUGGGAAACUGCCCGCUGGAGGGGGAUAACUACUGGAAACGGUAGCUAAUACCGCAUACCAUCGGGGGUGCCCAGAUGGGAUUAGCUAGUAGGUGGGGUAAUGGCGUACCUAGGCGACGAUCGCUGGCUGGUCUGAGAGGAUGACCAGCCACACUGCAACAGAGGGACGGUCAAGCGGCCUAGGGUAGUAAGCAGUGGGGAAUAGUGCGAAAUGGGAGCAAGGCUGAUGCACUCAUGCCGCGAGUAUGAAGAGGGCAUUCGGGUUGUAGAGUACUAUCAGUGGGGAGGCGGUACCUGCAGAAGAAGCACCGGCUAACUACGUGCCAGCAGCCGCGGUAAUAC
rnacentral:rRNA from 1 species